CCUACGGGGGGCUGCAGUAAGGAAUAUUGGGCAAUGGAGGCAACUCUGACCCAGCCAUGCCGCGUGAAGGAUGACGGCCCUAUGGGUUGUAAACUUCUUUUAUACGGGCAUAAACCCGGGUACGUGUACCCGGCUGAAUGUACCGUAAGAAUAAGGAUCGGCUAACUCCGUGCCAGCAGCCGCGGUACUACGGAGGAUCCAAGCGUUAUCCGGAUUCAUUGGUGCGAAGGGGUGUGUAGACGGCAGUGGAGAAAUCCUACAGCUUAACUGUAGAACUGCCGUUGAUACUGCAAGUCUUGAGUACAUUGGAUGUGGGCGGAAUGUGUCAUGUAGCGGUGAAAUGCUUAGAUAUGACACGGAACACCGAUUGCGAAGGCAGCUCACAAAACUGUAACUGACGCUGAGGCACGACAGCGUGGGGAUCAAACAGGAUUAGAUACCCGAGUAGUC
rnacentral:rRNA from 1 species